GCCGCCGUAGCACAAAGGUAGUGCAUUGCCUUCCUAUUGAGUGGGUCAGGUCAGGCAAAGGUUGUGGGUUCGAGCCCCAUCGGCGGUU